rnacentral:rRNA from 1 species
UACGUAGGGUGCAAGCGUUGUCCGGAAUUAUUGGGCGUAAAGAGCUCGUAGGCGGUGUGUCGCGUCGGCCGUGAAAACCUGCAGCUUAACUGUGGGCUUGCGGUCGAUACGGGCAUCACUGGAGUUCGGCAGGGGAGACUGGAAUUCCUGGUGUAGCGGUGAAAUGCGCAGAUAUCAGGAGGAACACCGGUGGCGAAGGCGGCUCUCUGGGACGGUACUGACGCUGAGACGCGAAAGCGUGGGGAGCGAACAGG